AAAUACAAUUCUUAAAUGUUCUGGCAUUUUAUAAACCAAUUGAUUAAUCGCCUCAUCUAGAAAGUAAUCUGGAGAUCAUGAAAAUAUUCCUUGGUUGCGGUGCUGAUGGGUAACAUGGAGGAAUUGCUUGGUUUGUUUCUGGGUGUGUGAUCACUUGUGUUUCUCAAAUACUCGUCCUCUUUGGUGACAUCUGGAACUAAAAGAUAUGCUGUUCAGCGAAUAAUCCUUUAAUCUGAUUUCUCUGUGCACUUCUCAGUGUUGAAUCACGGGUUUCUUUGGAGGUGGAAUCAUGUUUUUCCUUCAGGCUGAAAGCGGUGGCGGGUCUUUUGUGUGGUGGUGCUGAUGGUGUUUUACAAUGACCCUCUCAUUGUCUCCCAACAUUUGUUUUUGGCACCAGCUUCUCUGAUGUGUAUGUGUGUCUUCAUGUUUUGUCUUCUCUGCAGCCCUCUGAAAAGUGCGGCGUUCUGAAUGUGACAAAGAUCACCGAGCACGGCAAGAAAGUACGGAAGAACUGGACUUCCUCCUGGACGGUGCUGCAAGGAUCCUCGCUGCUGUUCACCAAAAACCAAGGAGGCGGGACCAGCUGGUUCGGAGGCGGUCAGUCUACGCCAGAGUUCACUGUGGACCUGAGGGGGGGCUCGGUGGAGUGGGCCUCCAAGGACAAAUCCAGCAAGAAGCACGUUAUAGAGGUG